GAUGAACGCUGGCGGCGUGCCUAAUACAUGCAAGUCGAGCGAACGGACGAGAAGCUUGCUUCUCUGAUGUUAGCGGCGGACGGGUGAGUAACACGUGGAUAACCUACCUAUAAGACUGGGAUAACUUCGGGAAACCGGAGCUAAUACCGGAUAAUAUUUUGAACCGCAUGGUUCAAAAGUGAAAGACGGUCUUGCUGUCACUUAUAGAUGGAUCCGCGCUGCAUUAGCUAGUUGGUAAGGUAACGGCUUACCAAGGCAACGAUGCAUAGCCGACCUGAGAGGGUGAUCGGCCACACUAGAACUGAGACACGGUCCAGACUCCUACGGGAGGCAGCAGUAGGCAAUCUUCCGCAAUGGGCGAAAGCCUGACGGAGCAACGCCGCGUGAGUGAUGAAGGUCUUCGGAUCGUAAAACUCUGUUAUUAGGGAAGAACAUAUGUGUAAGUAACUGUGCACAUCGUGACGGUACCUAAUCAGAAAGCCACGGCUAACUACGUG
rnacentral:rRNA from 1 species